UUCUUUUUCAUCAUCGCCAUCUUGUGAGAUAGAAACACAGAUGUUAUUCUUAAAACUUCCUCCUCUGUGGAGACAUAAGUCAAGGGAAAGGACCUGCUCCUAAGGUCUCGGCGUGGAUCGGACUGGGACCAGUAGGCUCCAGGGCCCACAGCGUGAUGGCGCACAUCUCCUGAGGAUUCCUCACCGCAGGAAUGUGGGCCCAUCCAUCCCCACGUGUGUCAUCUGGGCCUCUGGGACCUGCUGGGCCCUCGGGUCUGUGCAGAACCUGAGCUUCAUCUCCAAAGGGGCUAAAAGAAUUCAUUUACUCAUUUAGUUCUUCAUGAGGCUCUGGCUCCACAGCCUCUUUCUGUGGUCCAAUCAGAAGCUGCCUUACCAGACUGUAUCGAUGAUGUCAUCUCAUGGUGCCAAAAAGGCGCUCAGUGUAUUCAGAGAUGCAAAUGUGGAGAUGUUACCAAAGCUUCACGUCAGUUUCUGUUGGAUGAGGGAAUUACAGGCGGAUGUGAAGCAGCUCUCAGGAGGCAGAAGAACAUGCGGAUCGGUUCCAGUUAAACGGAUCGGUGGAAAUAAGUGGAGGACUCAACCAGCAGCGUAGAGAUGUGUGGAUGACGAGCAACACACAGACAGGAAAUAAUGACAAAAUAAGAGACCAGCGUGGACGUAAGGUCAGUUUGAAACAGUUGAAUGCUGAAGGGUUUCAAUAACCAUCAUGGGUUCAGUGACUAAAGAAGAUAAUACAAUUGACUUUAUUCUGUCUAAAAGGAAACUACAGGAACAUUGUGACAAUUCCAUUUAGCUUUGGGAAAAUUGUGACUUUGGAAAAACGUGUUGUAUGAGGAAAUCAUUUCAAGUAAAGUAAACAUUGUAAACAUGA